rnacentral:rRNA from 1 species
UACAGAGGGUGCAAGCGUUAAUCGGAAUUACUGGGCGUAAAGCGUGCGUAGACGGUUACAUAAGUCGGGUGUGAAAGCCCCGGGCUCAACCUGGGAAUUGCAUUCGAGACUGCGUAGCUAGGGUGCGGAAGAGGGAAGCGGAAUUCCGGUGUAGCGGUGAAAUGCGUAGAUAUCGGAAGGAACACCAGUGGCGAAAGCGGCUUCCUGGUCCAGCACCGACGUUCAGGCACGAAAGCGUGGGGAGCAAACAGG